CGCUGAAGAAUUUGACACGUACUGAUCUACUCCCCUCUAGUUUUAAUUUUAGACGGUAGAUACUGAUCAUAAAAUAUUCGUUCGGCAUCACAAAAUAUUUAGAAUAUUACACUCUAUGCAUAUUUAUAUGCGUUCAUUUACCGUUGAAAAUAUUCUGAUCUUUUCAAAUCUUUUCAUGUUAGCGUCCAACCAAUCACAACCCAUUUCCCUGUGAAUUAGCCAAUCAGCUUUGUCGACCGCCAGACGGUCGACUUAUAUGCACUUUUGACAACAUUUUCAUCAGACCUACGUUUCGCCCUUCGUCGACCCGCGAAUUUUAGGGCGGGCGAAACGUAGGUCUGUUAUCAGGCUAAAUUGUCCCAUGUGGUAUGAUUUCUACAUGUCUCCAACCACACCAGGUUGUGGAAGAGGACUGAUGCCCUCGGACAUCCAAGUUCCUCCAGGUUUAAUGAUGGUAUUCCCAGUUUCUUUAAGAUAUCUUCCUCGUAAUGCCCUCCUUUAUAGCCAAUUCUUGAUUUAUAAUCAAUUUUAUAAUUAUCGUAAAAGCUACGAACGAUUCUCUCUAAUUCGGUCAGCUUUAUAGCGUUGCUAUUAGGCGGUGCACCAAAAGGUAAACGAUGAAUUUUAUGUUUCAGGUACAUACAAUGUCUUCUACUCUUUUCAUCAAGAUCUGACAAACACAUACCAAAGUCAAAGAAAUAGGAUAUUGAUAAUUUUUUUGUGUAUUAAAAAUCCAUCCAUAUCAAUGAUUCCUAUGAUCUGUUUUCGCAACUCUUCCAAAGAUUGGGAUUCCUCCAUUUUUUUAUUUUUUUUCGAAUAUGGAAUAUGAAUUUUAGAGUCUGUUUAUAAUGCUGGAUUAUACACCCUUUUCAUAAAUGGCUGCCAAUUAAAAAUUCUUUUAUGUGCAUAUAAAUUGGCCCAACUAACCUCGUUUCUGGGUAGAAAUUCCUUUGAAAUCUUAACAUGAGUAUGAGGCUAGUUGGGCCAAUUUAUAUGCACAUAAAAGAAUUUUUAAUCGGCAGCCAUUUAUGAAAAGGGUGUAUGCUGUGAAAUUUUACAAGGUGACACGACUGUAUUGUGUUGCUGAUUUAGCCGUGUUGUUGAUUUUUUAUUUAUUUUUUUCCCUUUUUUGCUUAUUUGUUUUGUUCGGUUGUGCUUCCUUUGUGUUUAGGUGCGCUUCCCACGUACUCUUUAAAAUUAACUACAGGCGGUGUCUCUUUUAGAGCGGCAAAAUUUGAAAAACACAAGAGCGGAAAGGGUCUGAUUGCUCAUUAUGUAUUCUCUAUCUUACGCACUUAUAAGCACUAUAAAAAUCCCACAACUGCAAGAUAAAUCACACAGGGAGUGCUAACAGUAUAGAGACAGCAGGUGGUGUGCGGAUUUUUGAACGGUCCUUAGCUACAAGAGGGCUCAAGUAUAAGGAUAUGCUGGGGGAUGGUGAUUCAUCAACCUACAACACCAUUGUUGAGAACAAACCAUAUGGCGAGGACUGCAUUCCAAAUAAAUUAGAGUGUAUUGGCCAUGUCCAAAAGAGAGUUGGUAGUAGACUGCGGAGAAUAAAGAGUUCCAACAAAGGAUUGAAACUGGCAGAUGGAAAAGGUUUGGCUGGUAAAGGUAGACUCACUGACAGCAAAAUAGAUGUCCUGCAGAAUUACUAUGGCUUGGCUGUUAGACAAAACCUGGAUGUUAAUAAAAUGGCCAAGGCAAUAGAAGCAUCACUUCUCCAUGUUGCAUCAACAGAUCAGAAUCCGCAGCAUCAUCUCUGCCCAGAUGGAGAGAACAGUUGGUGUGGGUAUAACAGAGACAAAAACCAAUAUCAGCACAAGAAUGGUAUUCCCAACUGUAUUGUUGACUUUAUCAAGCCUAUAUUUAAUGACCUUAGUAAGACUGAAUUGUUGAGCAAAUGUACGCACGGAUUGACACAGAAUGUGAAUGAGUGUUUGAAUGGGCUCAUCUGGGACAGAUGUCCAAAAUCCACUUAUGUAGAGCUGGAAACUGUUGCUCUUGCCACAUACUUAGCUAUCCUGAAAUUCAAUGAUGGGGACAUUUCUUUUCUGAAAAUAUUUAGUGAUUUGGAUAUCACUCCUGGCAUCUUCACCAGUAAAGGUGCUGAGGAUUGUGACAAUGCGCGAAUCAAACUGUCCGCC